rnacentral:rRNA from 1 species
CCUACGGGUUGCACCAGUGGGGAAUAUUGCACAAUGGGCGCAAGCCUGAUGCAGCCAUGCCGCGUGUAUGAAGAAGGCCCUAGGGUUGUAAAGUACUUUCAGCGGGGAGGAAGGUGUUGUGGUUAAUAACCGCAGCAAUUGACGUUACCCGCAGAAGAAGCACCAGCUAACUCCGUGCCAGCAGCCGCGGUAAUACGGAGGGUGCAAGCGUUAAUCGGAAUUACUGGGCGUAAAGCGCACGCAGGCGGUCUGUCAAGUCGGAUGUGAAAUCCCCGGGCUCAACCUGGGAACUGCAUUCGAAACUGGCAGGCUAGAGUCUUGUAGAGGGGGGUAGAAUUCCAGGAGUAGCGGUGAAAUGCGUAGAGAUCUGGAGGAAUACCGGUGGCGAAGGCGGCCCCCUGGACAAAGACUGACGCUCAGGUGCGAAAGCGUGGGGAGCAAACAGGAUUAGAUACCCGAGUAGCC